GGCGUCCGCCCCGUGGACGCCCUGACCAUAUGCCCUCCGUCCCGGCUACCCUGACGGCGUGCGCUCUCCCCGCGAGCCGCCGUGCACGCAUCCUGGGAGAGGCAAAGCCGACAGCCGUCGCACCCGAGGGAGCCCUUCCAUG
rnacentral:sRNA from 1 species